AUUGAACGCUGGCGGCAUGCCUAACACAUGCAAGUCGAACGGUAACAGGCCCGCAAGGGUGCUGACGAGUGGCAGACGGGUGAGUAAUACGUUGGAAUCUGCCCUGUAGUGGGGGAUAGCCCGGCGAAAGCCGGAUUAAUACCGCAUACGCUCUACGGAGGAAAGCGGGGGAUCGCAAGACCUCGCGCUAUUGGAUGAGCCUACGUCUGAUUAGCUAGUUGGUAGGGUAACGGCCUACCAAGGCGACGAUCAGUAGCUGGUCUGAGAGGAUGAUCAGCCACACCGGAACUGAGACACGGUCCGGACUCCUACGGGAGGCAGCAGUGGGGAAUAUUGGACAAUGGGGGAAACCCUGACCCAGCAAUGCCGCGUGUGUGAAGAAGGCCUGCGGGUUGUAAAGCACUUUUGUUGGGGAAGAAAAGCCGUCGGCGAAUAUCCGGCGGUCUUGACGGUACCCAAAGAAUAAGCACCGGCCAACUCCGUGCCAGCAGCCGCGGUAAUACGGAGGGUG
rnacentral:rRNA from 1 species